CCUACGGGUGGCUGCAGUCGAGAAUCUUCGGCAAUGGACGAAAGUCUGACCGAGCGACGCCGCGUGCGGGAUGAAGGCCCUUGGGUUGUAAACCGCUGUCGUAGAGGAACAAAGGUAUGUGGGUUCUCCCAUGUAUUUGAGUGAUUCUAGGAGGAAGGAGAGGCUAAGCUCGUGCCAGCAGCCGCGGUAAGACGAGCUCUCCAAACGUUAUUCGGUAUCACUGGGCUUAAAGAGUUCGUAGGCGGCUUGACAGGUGAGGUGUGAAAGCCCACGGC
rnacentral:rRNA from 1 species